CUGUCACAGCUCUGUGGGGUGAAGUGAGUGUGUCCAUGUGUGUCUUAUGACUGCCAGAAGGGAAAUGUGCAACAGGGUUGCCAGAUCCCAGAAGAGAAAACAAGCAACCCAGACUGUCCAGAGCUCCUGAAGUGACAGCCACUAUUCUAGAAAGAGACCAUUUGAUGCUGGGAUCAAGCCACACCUGGGGUCGGUCGUUUCUCUGAUGGGUAUCCACUCUGCAGAAGAGCCACCUCUCCGAGGACGCUUGUAGCUUUUAUGUGGCCUUCAUGAGGUCACACACAGGGCUCAAGUCAGUUUCCAUGACUACACAGGCAGCAUCCAGCCAAUCAGCAUUCUCAGCAGCCAGUAAGCAUCAUAUCUGUACAUCUGACAUUAAAGGUAUAGGGGAAGGA